UCGUGCACGUUCUGGAACAAACCGUUGCCAGUGAUAUCUGUAUUUCCUUUUUGCUUAUAUUAUAGCCAAAUGCAUUUUUAACUUUCUCGCGUAAGGAAGGAAGUUGUAACCAAAACCUGAACUGUAAACCCGAGCAUGUGAAUCACAUCAUUACUGGACUAUACACCGACCCACCGUUGCUUGUGGAGGGUGUACUUGGGAAAUAGGGAGGAAAAUACCUUACCGUAAAGAUGGAUUUGUUGCUUCUAAUUGUCAUUACUAAUGUCCCAGUCACCUUGAAAGCUGCAACAUGUGGUGUGCAGCAACACUGCUCAGACUGUCAUGGGGUGAUAGGGCAUUGUCUCACUGGUUGCGAGGAUGGACUGCAAGAAGAGCCUUUGUAAACUGAACGAGCGAGGUCUUCAGGUAUGCACGGAAGGUUGCAUACCAGGGUAUCGCGGUCGAAACUGUGAUAGCCAGUGUGAUAGCCCAGGGGUCGAAUGUACAAAGUGUCCACACGUGUGUGAUGGCGGAUAUUGUCAGACUGAUUCAACUUGUUUUUCUGGGUGCGU